rnacentral:rRNA from 1 species
GGACUACUGGGGUUUCUAAUCCCGUUCGCUACCCUAGCUUUCGUGCCUCAGCGUCAGAAGAGAUCCAGUGAGCCGCUUUCGCCACCGGUGUUCCUUAGGAUAUCAAUGCAUUUCACCGCUCCACCCUAAGUUCCGCUCACCUCUAUCUCCCUCGAGCACGGUAGUUUUGGGCGCAGUUCCUCGGUUGAGCCGAGGGAUUUCACACCCAACUUUCCGCGCCGCCUACGCACCCUUUAAGCCCAGUGAUUCCGAAUAACGUUUGGACGGUUCGUCUUACCGCGGCGGCUGGCAC